rnacentral:tRNA from 1 species
AAGGAAGGACAGAAAUCAGUAAGUGCUGCUAAUACUUAUGCCCCAAGGUUAAAGUCCUUGGCUUCUUUA